UAAAAAAAAUUAAGAUAGAGAUUGACCUUUGUUGUGGAUUAAAAACACUUUAACUGCCAACAUGGGUUGUGGCUUAACAGUGAAACUAUUCAUCCUUAAACAAAGAUCUCUCGUUCGAGCCCUAGGUAUGGAGAAAAUCUUGUUGGGAGCGACACCCUCAAAAUGGGUCCUGCAUUGGGAUGACACAGUUAUUAAGAAAACAAUGAUUGGUGAAAAGAAAGAAGAGAAUUGUUGACAAGGGGACAGGAGCAUGAGAAAAGGGGUCAAUUUUCAAAUUCCAAAAUUAAGAGAAAAUUGGUAGACCCACAGUUGACCUUUAGUAGAUUCCUUCAAUAAUUUCACCUUUUUUCACUUCUCUUUACUUUACUUUAAAGACUAAAAAUGAAUCAAACAAAGUUAGCAUUGAUGUUAGUGUCUUGUCUUUUAACACAGCUGUAUGAUUGAACCAUGCUUA